GGUUCGCUGGUGUAGUUGGUUAUCACGUACCCUUCACACGGGUAAGGUCUCCGGUUCGAUCCCGGAGCGAACCA